rnacentral:rRNA from 1 species
UGGGGAAUUUUGGACAAUGGGGGAAACCCUGAUCCAGCCAUCCCGCGUGUGCGAUGAAGGCCUUCGGGUUGUAAAGCACUUUUGGCAGGAAAGAAACGUCAUGGGUUAAUACCCCGUGAAACUGACGGUACCUGCAUAAUAAGCACCGUCUCACUACGUGCCAGCAGCCGCUGUAAUACGUAUGGUGCAAGCGUUACUCGGAAUUACUGGUCGUAAUGCGUGCGCAGGCGGUUCGGAAAGAAAGAUGUGAAAUCCCAGAGCUCAACUUUGGAACUGCAUUUUUAACUACCGGGCUAGAGUGUGGCAGAGGGAGGUGGAAUUCCGCGUGUAGCAGUGAAAUGCGUAAAUAUGCGGAGGAACACCGAUGGAGAAGGCAGCCUCCUGGGAUAACACUGACGCUCAUGCACGAAGGCGUGGGGAGCAAACAGG